UACAGAGGUCCCAAGCGUUGUUCGGAUUCACUGGGCGUAAAGGGUGCGUAGGUGGUGGGGUAAGUCGGAUGUGAAAGCUCGGAGCUCAACUCCGAAACUGCAUUCGAUACUGCCGUGCUUGAGGACUGGAGAGGAGACUGGAAUUUACGGUGUAGCGGUGAAAUGCGUAGAUAUCGUAAGGAAGACCAGUGGCGAAGGCGGGUCUCUGGACAGUUCCUGACGCUGAGGCACGAAGGUCAGGGGAGCAAACGGG
rnacentral:rRNA from 1 species